AUGGGUUCUGUUUGGGCACGGCGAGAGAGACAGUUUGCACAUAGUCAGGUUAGGGGAUGCUACCCGUCCUUCACGGCGCAGUUUGAUAGUUUGCACGAGGAUCAAGUUAUCUGGGAGCCAUACUCGGCUGAGGCUAUAUCAUCGAGGUACCCAGUUGGGAUUUCUGGAUUGUGCACUAGAGAUCGGCAUUUUUGGAUGACCAAGGCCAAGUUGGUGUUCGAUGUGACGGUUGAGGAGAUGUCUCUUCAUAGAGUAAUGAGACAGUUCGGUCUAUAUCAAGAGCCUGAGAUUCCAAAAAUUCCACAGUUGCCAGAGCACGUGCACAAGGACAGUCGCCUAGGAGGAAACAAGUCCAUGGAUUACUGGCUUAAGAGCAUUACCCCUUACGUUGACGAAUGGACUACCGCUGCGACAAAUACCUGGGGUGAGGGUCGGGCCUUUAACUGGCAAAUGUUCGGGUUGUAUCUGCAGCGUUACCGGCAUACAACAAGGAUCUACUUGGUUCCAUCAGCUGCUCCUGAUCAGAUCGAAGCCCCUCUCACCAGCGAUAUGUACCCAACUGCCUCUGUUGUGGGAACCAGACACCACGCGGGUGACUUGACAGUACAGGCGCGAGAGGAGGUUUCCGCUUUAAUGCGGCGCUUUCAGAGGGGAGAAACUAUCCCACCGCGAGAGGGCGUCUCAUGGUUGAGGCGUCUUGAUGACAAGCUACGGAGGAUUUACGCUGCUGUUACGUGUAGACGGUCUUCGGAUGUUGCACUUCCUCCUCCAGCACAUCGUCCGCCACGUCCCUCUGUACAGCAUUCAGAACCACGACCCUCUGUGCAACGUUCACAACCACGACCUUCUGUGCACCGUGCAGAACCUCAUCCUUCACAGCCAGGGAGCUCUUCCAGGCAUGAGCCACCUCCUUCACAGCCAGGGAGCUCUUCCUGGCAUGAGCCACCUCCUUCACAACCAGGGAGCUCUUCCUGGCAUGAGCCACCUCCUUCACAGCCAGGGAGCUCUUCCUGGAAUGAGCCACCUCCUUCACAGCCAGGGAGCUCUUCCUGGAAUGAGCCACCUCCUUCACAGCCAGGGAGCUCUUACUGGCAUCAGCCACCUCCUUCACAGCCAGGGAGCUCUUACUGGCAUCAGCAGAUGGAACUAGGCGGCAACCUGUCGCAACCGUUCAUGCAUUCAGAGCAGUCACCCAUCCUUAGUGGUGGUGCUGAUUACUUUGAGGGCGACCGCGAGGAUGAUGACCAUGCUACAAACAUUUAUGGCUUCUCGCAGACAGUGUUUCACACUCCACCACCACCACCGACGCAGGAGACACAGACCGUGACAGACGAGGUUAACUAUGGUCGUGGUUAUCGCGAUCCUCGUCCACCGCCUCAGCGCUUAUCGCCUUCCGGUCCUCGCCCGAGGAAGACCCAGACUCGUCGCCGUCCCCCGCAGUGA
rnacentral:rRNA from 1 species